AGUGAACGCUGGCGGCAGGCCUAACACAUGCAAGUCGAACGGCAGCACAAGAGAGCUUGCUCUCUGGGUGGCGAGUGGCGGACGGGUGAGGCAUGCAUCGGAAUCUGCCCAUUUGUGGGGGAUAACCUCGGGAAACCGGGACUAAUACCGCAUACGACCUACGGGUGAAAGCAGGGGAUCUUCGGACCUUGCGCAGAUGGAUGAGCCGAUGCCGGAUUGGCUAGUUGGAGGGGUAAAGGCCCACCAAGGCGACGAUCCGUAGCUGGUCUGAGAGGAUGAUCGGCCACACUGGAACUGAGACACGGCCCAGACUCCUACGGGAGGCAGCAGUGGGGAAUAUUGGACAAUGGGCGCAAGCCUGAUCCAGCCAUGCCGCGUGUGUGAAGAAGGCCUUCGGGUUGUAAAGCACUUUUGUUGGGAAAGAAAAGCAGCCGGUUAAUACCCGGUUGUCAUGACGGUACCCAAAGAAUAAGCACCGGCUAACUUCGUG
rnacentral:rRNA from 1 species